ACUCAAAGGAAUUGACGGGGGCCCGCACAAGCGGCGGAGCAUGUGGCUUAAUUCGAGGCAACGCGAAGAACCUUACCUAGGCUUGACAUGCAGGGAAAUCCGGCAGAGAUGUCGGGUCCGCAAGGGCUCUGCACAGGUGGUGCAUGGUUGUCGUCAGCUCGUGUCGUGAGAUGUUGGGUUAAGUCCCGCAACGAGCGCAACCCUCGUCCUAUGUUGCCAGCGGUUCGGCCGGGGACUCAUAGGAGACUGCCGGGGUCAACUCGGAGGAAGGUGGGGAUGACGUCAAAUCAUCAUGCCCCUUAUGUCUAGGGCUGCACACAUGCUACAAUGGCCGGUACAAAGGGCUGCGAAGCCGUGAGGUGGAGCGAAUCCCAAAAAGCCGGUCUCAGUUCGGAUCGGGGUCUGCAACUCGACCCCGUGAAGUCGGAGUCGCUAGUAAUCGCAGAUCAGCAACGCUGCGGUGAAUACGUUCCCGGGCCUUGUACACACCGCCCGU
rnacentral:rRNA from 1 species